UUGUUACGGCACUUGUAGCUUGUAGCAUCCUGCUAUUUAGUUUGAACACCAAAAGACCCGAACUCUGAUCAUUUGUAAUGUGUAUUUCCCAUUUCCCCCCAAUUUCAUGAGCAUGGAACAUAGCUCAUUACCUGCGGUGUUUAUUUUAUACGGUGUUCACCGUGUCCUUUGCUUAUUGUUUCCCGUCUCCUCCACCGACGGCACCUCUGACUGCACUCUCACCCUUCUGCAGGAGCUCUACGGAGAGGUGCGCUCCACCUCCGGCAGGGAGCUCUCAAUGCAGACUGUGUAGGGCAUGCUGUCCCAGGUGGCAUUGGGCCAGCAGGUCCUGUCGGGUCUGCUGGAGAGUGGGAUCCCGGUGCUGGGCAACAUCAUCUCAGGGGGCGUCUCCUUCAUGGCCUCGUACAGCCAAUCUGGAGCUGGAGCAUAUAAAGUGCUCACUGAGUGUAUAAGAAUAAAAACAACAAGACUCUCAAUGCCUAGUAUGGAAUGAUAAUGAAUGAUUUCACAGGUUCAAACCGAUCUUUCAUUACUUUAUGAAACAAAUAUUUUCAGGAAAUCUAACGGUCAAACGCAUCAAUCCGGUACACUUUGGGAGGCUUCACAUUCGGGCUACAGAUGGCUUUAUUCAUUGAUCCUGGAAAUACUGUUUAAACCAUUGUAACCUUAUUCUGGGGGUGUCCCCUGUCACCAGGAAGCAGGGAGAACGGGGCAGAGCACACCACAGAAAUACGUUAGACACUAGGGUAGAAAGCUUCAGCAGAAGCCUAAAAAUCACAAACUACAGAGCUCUGGAUGGGGCAGACGACGCCCGAGAGGACGUUCCGGAUCCAGGAUAUUUUUAUGCGGACUAAGGGAGCCAAAUGUGACCCCGGGGAUUAGGCUGGGUGAUGCUGGGAGGGGAAACCUACAGAGGACUAUGUAUUAAAACUGCAAAUGGGAUGCGGAUUGAAUUAGCCCUGCACAUUGUUGUACAGCAAUAAAUGAUCAUGAACACAGACAUUUUCCAGCGUCGACUUUGUCUUUGGUCAUCCGGCAUUUGAUGUCACUGAGGCAGUUAAAAAGUGUUUUCAAAGAGACUUUUGUUGUUUGGCUUCAGUGCUACAUGCUGUACAUACAGUAGUACAUGUAGUCCAACCACUUUCACUGGUCUUUUCUUUUCUGACUCUGGCCCGUGGAACCAGUUCUGUCAGCAAAAGGUCAAAGCAAGAAUGUGGCUUUUGUAUCUGUUUCCUCUUGUGAUGUCAUUGUGGAUAGGGCUGUCAGACUACUGGAGUAGGGAAAAAACUUUUGUUGUAAUUGUAAAAAAAAAAAGGAAAAAAGAUCAAUACAAGUACAAUAGUGCUAAGACAGGCUGCCGAACUGAAACUGAACUGUUUUUCAUGACUUUUUCUUUACAGACUACAAGUUACAUCACAACAAAACAGAGACAAGGACACAACAACAUAGUCUCCAAAAGCCAGAGAAAAGAGGCUGCAGUAACAAGGUACAAGGAAAUGCCUUACCUGUUGGUGGUUCGUGUUCCUCCCUGUUUCGGUAUGCAAGUUCCUGUUUGACUUCAAGGUCGCCAUAGAUGACACGAUAGUACACGUGCAUAGCCUAUUGAGGUAUUUAUUUUAAUCUAUCUUCUUUACGGUAUGAGUAGGAAAGCAUUUAGCUUCCAAGGUAAUGUUGUUGUUAAAAUGCGCUACAAUAUUGUGUUUUCCAGAACGCCACACUGCCUGUGCACUAACAAAUGUUUUUCUGCCAUUACAGGACAUUGCUAGCUGCUGUUUUGCUGACAUUAGGGGUGUUAGGGGCGACAUGGCUCAGGCAGUAAGAGCAGUCGUCUGGCAGCCCGUUCGAUCCCCUGCCCGGGCUGUGUUGAAGUGUCCCUGAGCAAGACACCUAACCCCCAAAUGUGUGUGUAUGAAUGGGUGAAUGAGAAGCAUCAAUUGUACAGCACAUUGGAUAAAGGCGCUAUAUAAAUGCCAACCAUUUAUUAGAAAUUUGUGUGUAUCGUGUAGGCUCAUUAAAGAGCUGAGGAACGUGGAUAGCGGGGCGCCAGUUCUAUUAAUACGCCGGUAAUGGCUACGUGGAGCGUUUGUGUUUUUAAACCUUUUCCCUGGGAUUCCAUAUUUAUUUCUAGUUUUAAUAUUCGUACUAUUGACAAACCAACUGUUGAUCGAGUUGGGGCUUUGGGGCGGCUUACUGUUUACGUUUUGUGGUGGCCCGAUCAGGAAUCGGUACACCACUGGAGUGGAACGGCCCGUGCGCCGGCGCCAAGCACUGGGAAAGGUCUUUAAUCACGUGUAUUUCCCCUGUUCGUAUCUAGCAGAGCCGCACCGAGGAGAGAGAGCCGGCGGGGAGAAUCAGCACCAUGGCCAGCGACACGGAGAAAAGACGCGUGAGGAAUGUGAGCUAGGAAUGAAUUAACAUUUCUAAUUGGACAGGCGCAGCCGGACUGACUCCAAGGAGGAACGAGAGGCCCUACAAAAGACGGGGCGCAACCACAGAGCGGGGCUGAGUACGGAGGGAGACGGAGGAAAAGCCCAGUGAGUUGGAAAAAACAGCAAUUAGAAACAAGCAACGACACCACGGUGGAACCGCGGGUCUUCGGAGGCCCUACCGAAAGGCGAAGGCGGAACGGACCACCCACAGUCACCGACGGACCGGUGUACCUAAUUUUUUGGCCGGUUAUUUUUUUUCCCGUUUUUGAGAAAACUGUUUGGUUGGAACUUUGUGAAAGUGCCCUGAAGGCACGUGGGAAAAUAAUUAAAACCUUAUUUUUGAUCUACUCUUGCUCUCUCU